AUUUGCAUGAGAAAUACAGAACCUAUCUAAAACUCGAAAUUUGAAGGUAUUAAUUUUGGAAGCGCGAAUGCUUAGACAAAGUGCCAAAAAUAUACGCUCGCUAAGAUAUGAUUUCCUUCCUAAUAUAAAAGUUGAUGUCUGUAUUUCUCCACAUUCUUGCCAAAGCAUGGGUAACACCCCGUUGCAACUGAGCCUAACCACACCCUUCCCCCUGCUUAUCAAAACUGAUGAGCCCUCCUCCUCCCCAGUUUGCCAUUUACUGGCCGCCAUCUUUACUCUUAUGCGCUCUGCCUAGCAACAGGCGCUGGGCGCCAUUUUUUGACGGGUCUCCUUGUUCCUGUCUUUCAUCUGUCUCUAGUCCUGCAGUUUCUGGCUUCCCCCCCUAUGGCUUCUCCAAGAUGGCCCCCUAAUCUCAGCCUUCUUACCAGUGGGGUUCUUGGUAGGGAGACUCUCCUCUGGAGUUGGGACUCACCUGACCACGCCUUGAUGUGGGAUCCACGAUCGGUUUCCGAGUCAACCGACAAUACGCACAGCGCCAUAUUAACCCUUGGACCUGUGCUCAACAGAGUGUAAACAAAAAAGAGUCGAAGACACAGCAGGUUGUUAGUUGAACGCCACGGGGAAGCCUAUUUUCUCACUCAAGGAACCCUAAAUGCCUGGGCUAGGAGUCUGAUGCAAAGUAGUGCAAUGUAGGGCUUUGGAAACUCAGAAAUAACUCAACCUACAAGGACUUUGGCUCCUUAUCUAGUCUGUGCGUUCACCAUUCUCUCUCUCUCUCUCUCUCUCUCUCUC
ensembl:lncRNA